UACGUAGGGAGCAAGCGUUGUCCGGAAUCAUUGGGCGUAAAGCGCGUGUAGGCGGCUUGGUAAGUCUGCUCUGAAAGCCCGGGGCUCAACCCCGGGAGGCGGGUGGAUACUGCUGAGCUCGAGUCCGGAAGAGGCGAGUGGAAUUCCUGGUGUAGCGGUGAAAUGCGCAGAUAUCAGGAGGAACACCAAUGGCGAAGGCAGCUCGCUGGGACGGUACUGACGCUGAGACGCGAAAGCGUGGGAGCAACAGG
rnacentral:rRNA from 1 species